CAAAAGACCAUUGUACUGCCAACAUAGUUCAGAAGCGUUUUGUUAGCUCUAGGCAGAAUUUCCCGACAGAAUGUUUGUUGUUUAUGUUCGAGAUGGACAAAGCUCUGUGGGAGGAGUGGGCUUGGAUCUGGUUCCUGUAUUUAGAUGAAACCAUAGCCCCCUCUCACGCCAAAACCUUAGGAAAGUGGAAGCGUUCAGAGAGAUGGUUCAGGUGUUGCUCCAGCUGGUUUAUUUAUAUACGGCUAUAUCCCCAUCUGUGCUGAAUUACCAAUCCUUUGAGUUGAUUUAUGUGUGUCCUUAUUGCCUCAUUCUCAAUCAGGCUCAUUCGUGCUUUCCUUUAUUUUUCCAAUCCUUCCUUCUGGGCUGCUGUGUUAAUCACCUGAGAUGAGAGAAGCUGUCUGUUGUCAUGGCGACUCCAUCUCUGCUCUGGGCUUCCUGGGCAUUCUUUCAGCGUAUGGCGUCCAGGUGCAGUUUCUCUGGCCACUGUUACAGUUGUUCUUGAAUGUCAUGCAAACAAAGCAGAGUGCCCAGAGGCCUGCUGGUUUUUGUGAGCUGUCAUUGGAGAGAGAUGGGUCAGCAGAGGAAAAAGAGCUGUGACGAAUUAGACAGCAGUUGCUGUUCCAAAGCUCUUUAGCUGCUGAUAAAUGGAGCGGAGACUGCAAGUGACUCCAGAGGAGCCAGUGAGGCUUUCAGAUCGGGCGUGUGUGUUGUGAUUAGCAGAUGGUGGCACGAACCCGGGUUUCAUUUGUGUCCUCAGCCCUCAAGCUCGCUGUGAUACAGACAGGAAGGGGUGGGACUGACUGGCCGGCAAGGUCAGGCAGAGAUGUACAGCACUGAUGAGGAGAUCUUAAUCAGAGAUCAUUGUAAAUUCUCCUC
rnacentral:lncRNA from 1 species